GAGGGUUUUCAAAAACAAGUAUUUUUAAGAUUUUUGAACCAAUGUGAUAGUCAUGUUCAGCAGAUUGAUACUUUUAUAAAGAUGCAAGAGAUUAAUAGAUACAUUUGGAGGCAAUGUGAAAUUUAUGUUAGAGAGAUGAAGAAUUUAUUGAAGAAAAAAGAUAUAUUAAAUAGAAAUCAAUGUAUAAGUAUUUAUAAGAAACUUCAUC
rnacentral:lncRNA from 1 species